UAUCAAAAUUCAGAUUUACUCAAAUCCAAAUUUUCUCCCUCACGCAAUAUGUUCUCUCUCCCUCCCUCUCUGCCGUUUCCUUCUCCCAAAUUUCUCCGGCGAACGUCGCCGGUUCUCGUCGCCUCCGGCGCGGCGAGGCUGGCGUCUCUCUCCCCUCCUCCUUUCUUUCUUUUUUCUUUCCCUUAAUUUAAAUUAGUAACUACCUAGGGUUUUUAAAUCUUGUUCAAUCCUGUUCUCCGACGAGUUCCGCCGCGCCGCCGCCGUGCUCGUCGCAUCGCCACUCCUCCACCUCAGAUCUAGGAAUUUCGUUUCCAACGCUCCACUCACCGCCGUCCAGCAACUCGUCCCGCCUCCCCACCGUCGAUCCACUGCUGCGCCUGGCCUCGCCGUCGCCGUCGAUUGCAGCGCCUCGCCUCGCCGCGCUGCUGCGCCGUGUAUUGCUGCUCCUCGCCUCGCCGCACCGUCGAUUGUUGCGCCUCGACUCGCCAUCGAUUACUGCCACCCAUUGAGAUCUCUAAAUCCUGACGCCUCACCCCCCCUCGUCGCUCGACUGCACCUCCGCCUCAUUGUCUACGCUAUCACCAGGAACACCACUUUCGACAGCACCAAACAGAGCAGCUGAUUAGGGAAGCUUUGUGCUCCAUGACGGGCCUCCUUAUGCAAAUGGGGAUUUACAUAUGGGACAUGCCUUGAAUAAGAUUUUGAAGGAUAUUAUCAACCGCUAUAAGCUUCUUCAGAUUUUCCAAGUCAGUUAUGUGCCUGGUUGGGAUUGCCAUGGCUUGCCUACUGAACUGAAAG